GUGCCUCAUUAGACCUAAUGUUAGGGAGUGAUUGGUUAGCAGUUGCAAGGACAGCGAGGACAACAACAUCUGCUCUGCCAUCGAAAUUGUGAACUUCAUCCUCACAAGAACUGGAUGGAAUAAGGGCACCACACAGCCCCUCACACUGCAUGCUGUUUAUCUUUUCACUUUCAUUGACAUUUUAUUCAGUGAAGACAGCAAAAUCUGUCAGCUUGAAAUCUUAUAUUAAAUAUCAGAAUUAAGUACAUAACUGGUGUUUUUGCACUUUCUUCUCCACACAGUUGACCCUCGUGAUUUGCAGAUUGCAUUAUUUGCAAAUUUGCCUACUUGCUAAAAUUUACUGUAAUAAUCGAAUUCACUCUGAAGAGCUUCCACGGUUGUUUACAGACAUACAUAUGCACAAAGCAGUGAAAACACUGAGUCACGGACCUACACAUCCCAGGGUCUUGCUGGCCAGCAGACUCCACUGAUGCCCUGUGUGCCUUUGAAGAGUACAGGGAAUCCAUCUCUGACCUCAGCCAGCGCCCCAGCGGGUGCAACUGCAGAAUGUACCACAUCCACCACACAGAGAAAACGGGGGAUGCCUCGUGCACAGAAAAGGUGUGCAUGGCACCUGUGACAUGUUUCUAACAGCUAGAAAACAACAAAAGUGACGGGAUGUCUGUGGCUGCAUACGUGAGAUUACAUUGCGCGGGACCGAAAUGUCCAUCCUGCGGAAAGUGCCUCUCCCUUGCCGGCUUUGGGAAGCAGGAAGCGUGUUGGUGAGGCCCAGGGAGCAAGGAACUGAGGACAACAGAAUGCAGCCAGCCCUUACCUGGUCCAGCGUCAACAUGAGCUUUAUGACCUAUGAAAGUCAAGGUAGGCUUUCUAAAGUUCCGUACCCAUGUACUGGUUAUCCAUUGCUGCGUAACAAAUGAACACAAACAUGGAGGCUUGAAAGAGCAUGCACUCAUCAUCCCACAGUUUCUGCGGGUGUGGCUCAGACCUCGAUGGCAGUCUUGUGAGCACCAGAGCAGGAGCUCCAACCAUGCUGUGUCUCCCUCCAGACCCACAGGAACUAGGAGAUAAGUGUGUGCCUCCCUGGCGGUUUCAUCCUUCCCACCAUCCUGAACUCAGGACCAUGUUGAAGGUUCUAUCACCUUUACUUCAGUGGCUUGGUGGUCACCUCCUGCAGAUGAGUUCCCAAACCAAUAGUUCCAGCUCUGAACUGCUCCCGAGUGCCAACUUCCAUCUUCAAUUUCCUGAAGUCACUAAUUCAAAGAGUCAAACAGUUAUUAUCUAGUCACUCGAGUAUUUAACCAAUGUUUGCUAAGUGACUUCUCUGUGCCAGGCACUGUUCUGGGCACUGGAAAUGAACGAACAUCCCUGCCUUUAUGCCAUUUAUUUUCUAGUGUGGGAGGAGACAGAUGCUGAAUGUUUGUUGGAUGACGUUAAAAGCUAAAGAGAAAAAACAAAUCAGAGAGAGGGAUAUAAAGUGCCAAUGUGGGGAGCUGAAAUUUUAUACAGGGUGGACAGGUGUAAAAACAUGCAAGUAAGAGGGCAAGCCAGGCAUGUGUCAAGGAAGAAAGUACUCCAGAGAGAGGGAACAGUAAGUGCAAAGGCCCUGAGGCAGAGUGUGCUAUUUGAGGAACAGCUAGGAAACCAGUGUGGCUGACAUAGAAUGACCAAGACAGGGAGAGUGAUAGGAGAUUAAUUCAAGGAGGGAAGGAAAAGGACAGAUUUUGGAGGGUCUCAUAAGUCAUUGUACCAGGGCGCCUGGGUGGCUCAGUUGGUUAAGCGACUGCCUUCAGCUCAGGUCAUGAUCCUGGAGUCCCGGGAUCGAGUCCCGCAUCGGGCUCCCUGCUCGGCGGGGCGUCUGCUUCUCCCUCUGACCCUCCUCCCUCUCAUGUCUCUGUCUCUCAUUCUCUCUCUCUCAAAUAAAUAAAUAAAAUCUUUAAAAAAAAAAAAGUCAUUGUACCAUUUUGACUCGCAGUGAGAUGGGUGUGAUUGGGAGAUUUUGAAUGGGGUUUGCUACUGUGAUAGCAGUAGGGAUAGACUGGAGGGGGACGAGGGCAAAAGUAGGACUUGCUUAUUCACUUCUAGAACAGCAUCAGACACAUACGUAUUGGUCACGAAAUAAAUGCUUAACACUUGAAUGUUGUCAAAUCUAUUGAUCUUUUACAAUUUUUUAAAUUAAUGUUGUCUUAAAAAUACUUUCUAAAUUUGGUGUGGUAAUUAGAAACGGCCUUUCCUACAAUUACAUUCUAAAGAUAAUUAACUUACAUUUUCUUCUAUCACUCUCACAAUCUCAUUUCUUAAAUUUGAAUUUUCAUCUAUCUACAAUCUAUUCUGGUGAAAGGAAUAAAAUUAGGAAGCCAGCUUUAUAAUUUUCCAAAUGGCUAGUCAUUCAUCCAAGCUCUGCUUAUUAUAUAAUCUAACUGUCUCCUACUGAAAAUCUGUUGAGAUUUAGUUCUUAUUCUGACAUAAAUAUGAGCUAUUGAUAAAAACCAUUCUUAUGCCUACUUUGUCAUCCUACCUAUUUCCACAAACAGAGGCAUCUAUGUACCAUAUAAGGUUGUUGAUUGAUGAUCACUACCUAAAUUACCUGCUAACACAGUGAUUAACAGUUCUAUCUCUUACUUUUCAUCACCAACAAUUACUCCCUGUGAUUUAAAAAUUAGGAGGAAAAAAAAACAGGGAAAAACAGAAACAAAGAGUCACAAAAUUUCCCCAAGUCUACAUGGGAACAGAUUUGAAUGUUUAAUAUCACUCUGUCUCUACUGCACGGGAUGAGAAAGCAAACAAGAAGUUAGAUACAAGGAAAACCUUUUUCUUUCCCUCCAUCUUCCAAUCCUGUGAAAUAUUUCCAUUUUAAUUGAAAAUGGGAAAUGGGAAAAAUUACGUAAAGAACUCACCAGGAAAAAAAGCCUAUUGUCACAGUAGUCCAAGAAAUGUUGUUAGAAAGUCAAUAACCAACAUUUACAAAGUGGGGAUGGCUGCGACACUCCUAGGAGCGUCGGGAUCGGACAUUUGGGUUGAGUUAUGUAACCAGAUAUUCCAUGAGAGGUUCAAUCUGUCAUCCUGCGUUUGGUUGAUUUCGUGUCCUCAGCUUCAAAGAAAGGGAUGCCUGAAGGUCACCCGGGGAAUCCUAGGGAAGGUGAGUCACUGAAUGUGGGCCUCCACAGCAGUGGAUGUGGGGCCCCAUGAAAGCCUCCAAGUUCAGCUUCUUUUGGAAAUAAGAGCAGGUGGUGCUGUUGUCCCAGGAAAGAAGUGUGAUCAGACACCUGGCGCUCUAAGGUUUGUAAAGGAAAAGCUGCCAGGUCCCACGGGGAAACACUCUCCUUCCUCUGCAGGGAAAGGGACAGGGAGUUCAGAAACAAGACUGGGCUGAUGUCCAACCCCACGUUUCUGGGGCAGCUGGUCCCCGGGCAGAGGCGUGCAUGUGUCACCAAAGAGGUUUCUCCCAACUGCAGCUCGGGCAAAGGAAAAGGGACAGCGCCCUUCAAAGGACAGCAGCAGACAAGGUGCACAGAUCCUUUCAGUAAAGAGUGGACCAGGAUGUGGCCAAAGAGUACGAACUCUCUAAGAUAAAUAAGUGGCAGGGAUGUAACAUACAACAUGAUCACUGUAGGUAACACUGCCUAUAUUUCGAAGUUGCUAAGAGAGCAAAUCUUAAAAGUUCUCCUUACAAGGAAAAAAAAACAUUUUUUAUCUUUUUUUAGAUACCUAUAUGAGAAGAUGGAUCUUAAGAAAACUUGUAAUCAGGGGCGCCUGGGUGGCUCAGUCGGUUAAGCGACUGCCUUCGGCUCAGGUCAUGAUCCUGGAGUCCCGGGAUCGAGUCCCGCAUCGGUCUCCCUGCUCGGCAGGGGGUCUGCUUCUCCCUCUGCCCUCUUCCCUUUCAUGC